AGAGUUUGAUUCUGGCUCAGAACGAACGCUGGCGGCGUGGAUAAGACAUGCAAGUCGAACGAGAGAAUUGCUAGCUUGCUAAUAAUUCUCUAGUGGCGCACGGGUGAGUAACACGUGAGUAACCUGCCCCCAAGAGUGGGAUAGCCCCGGGAAACUGGGAUUAAUACCGCAUAAAAUCGCAAGAUUAAAGCAGCAAUGCGCUUGGGGAUGGGCUCGCGUCCUAUUAGUUAGUUGGUGAGGUAACGGCUCACCAAGGCGAUGACGGGUAGCCGGUCUGAGAGGAUGUCCGGCCACACUGGAACUGAGACACGGUCCAGACACCUACGGGUGGCAGCAGUCGAGAAUCAUUCACAAUGGGGGAAACCCUGAUGGUGCGACGCCGCGUGGGGGAAUGAAGGUCUUCGGAUUGUAAACCCCUGUCAUGUGGGAGCAAAUUAAAAAGAUAGUACCACAAGAGGAAGAGACGGCUAACUCUGUGCCAGCAGCCGCGGUAAUACAGAGGUCUCAAGCGUUGUUCGGAAUCACUGGGCGUAAAGCGUGCGUAGGCGGUUUCGUAAGUCGUGUGUGAAAGGCGGGGGCUCAACCCCCGGACUGCACAUGAUACUGCGAGACUAGAGUAAUGGAGGGGGAACCGGAAUUCUCGGUGUAGCAGUGAAAUGCGUAGAUAUCGAGAGGAACACUCGUGGCGAAGGCGGGUUCCUGGACAUUAACUGACGCUGAGGCACGAAGGCCAGGGGAGCGAAAGGGAUUAGAUACCCCUGUAGUCCUGGCAGUAAACGGUGCACGCUUGGUGUGCGGGGAAUCGACCCCCUGCGUGCCGGAGCUAACGCGUUAAGCGUGCCGCCUGGGGAGUACGGUCGCAAGAUUAAAACUCAAAGAAAUUGACGGGGACCCGCACAAGCGGUGGAGUAUGUGGCUUAAUUCGAUGCAACGCGAAGAACCUUA
rnacentral:rRNA from 1 species